GAGAACCUCCUGGACCCCACUCUGCUCCUGGGGAUUCACCUUUCCCACCAGAGCACCACCAGGAACUCAUUCAGUGAGUGGGUCCUUUGAUGAGAAGAAAUUAAACAGCCUUGGAAGUCUAAGAGAAGAAGGCACAGGCAAGCAGUUUGGGAAGAAGAAGACUAAAUGGAAGCACACCCAAGACUGGAAGAGGGAAAAGAAUAUUCUCGAGGCUUCCCUCUGGAAAAAGAACCUUCUCUCCUAGUGAAAAUGAGAUUGAAAGAGGGCAGAGUCACCUGAUGGUUCAGUGGAUGAUCAGAGAGAAGAGUCCAGGUCUCCAGACUCCUCCAAGAAGCCCCUCACUGUGCUGGAAAUGUUUUUUCCUAGGAAUUCCGGGGCAUGUUCUUCUUUGUAGACUCUUGAUUACUGUAGAUGUAUUUUAGUUUUGGGGGGAGAGGGGGUUUGUGACCCAUAGUUUGUUUACCUAUUUUCCUUAAUUUUAUGAUUGUUUGUAUUUUUGAUUAGUUUGCUUACUUAGCAUUACUACAAUACUGUGUUAUAAGGAAAUGCCAAAAUUUAGCCUGCUGCUAAGAGCUGGUGAGCUCCUAGAACCAUUGUGGGGAAAGUGAUGGAACUAAAGAAGGAGGCUAGAAAUGGAGGCCUUUCAGGGCAGUGGAAAGAGUAUAGACUGGGUGGUCACAUAGACAUGAAUGCUACCUCUCCAUCUCAUUGACGGUCACCACUUUAAGGAGAUUGCUUAAUUUCUAUGACCCUCAGUUCCUCAUCUGUAAAAUGGGGUAAUAGUACUUACCUUGCUUUGAGGAUGGAGAGAGAUAGAAUUAUAAUUGCAGUGAGGAUUGAGAGAGAAAUUUCCAUGGGGUAGGCACUCAAUAAAUGGUAGCUAUUAUUGUUAGAAAGAACAGAACAAGAGUGAAAGGAAAAAUAAAGCAUUUGCUCAAUUUAUAGUGUGGUCUUCACAAAAAGGGAACCAUAGGGAUACCCACCAAUACAGAAAACUCCCUUCAUCCUUUCCUCUUCGGCCAGCCUGAGCAUGGUUUGCAUGGUGAGCAGGGUCAUCAUCAUGAAGGGAAUACUCUGGGACACUGCCAAGAGGGGCACAAGAGGAGAAAAGCAUUAACCCCCCACACUGGGAUGUUCUGUGACUCUUCAUGUCAGCAUUUCAAGGCUGCAUGGGGGACACAGAUGAGGUGCAGCGGGAAGAUAUCCGCCUCUAUCCCUCUCUUGCCAUAAUGCCUGUCUGUAGUUAGAGAAUCAAGGAGUGGUCGGUUUAAAAUAAGGUGCAAGCUAUAAAGUCACCUGUACCUGUUUUUUGGUAGCAGUUGCUUAUUUGGAUAAUUAUUUUAUUAAUGUCCAUCUCUCCCAUCAGAAAUUUCCUGCAUCCCCAGGGCCUAGCACAGGUAAUAGGCUCUCAAUAAAUAAGUAAACAAGCAAACAAAUACAUAUCUGUCAAGUAAAAUGGUGUAGAAAAAAAAAUCAUAACAAACCCUUAGUUCAUGUAAAUGUCCAGUGGUUUGUGGAACGUGCCUCGCAGAAAAAGGGCUUUUGCAAAAACAAAGCCAGAUGAAAGGGAUGGUGAGGGUGGGAGGGAGUCCAGCCAAAUCCAGGGCAGCAUGGACUCAUGGUGAGUCAGCAGGCUCAUCUAUGCUCAGAAACAGCUGCCUAAAUCCUGCUAUUGAUAUUCUUUAGCACAGCAGAAGGGAGGUAUGUUCUCCUUUCUGUUGUUUGCACCCAUUUGGUUUUAGACAAUUAGUCAGGGUAGUUGUUUCCCAGGAAAAUGUGGCGGUUAUUUCCUCCAUACCGUAGCU